rnacentral:rRNA from 1 species
CGAGCACGCGCGUGUGGCAUAUCAAUAAGCGGAGGAAAAGAAACUAACAAGGAUUCCCUUAGUAACGGCGAGUGAAGCGGGAAGAGCUCAAAUUUGAGAUCUUCAAGGUUCUACCUUGACGAAUUGUAGUUUAUAGAAGUGUUUUUCUGUUAGUGGAGUGGCAAAAGUUCUUUGGAAUAGGACAUCAUAGAGGGUGAGAAUCCCGUAUUUGGUCAUUCCUCCUAGCGUUGUGAUACACUUUCAACGAGUCGGAUUGUUUGGGAAUGCAGUCCAAAAUGGGUGGUAAAUUUCAUCUAAAGCUAAAUAUUGGCGAGAGACCGAUAGCGAACAAGUACCGUGAGGGAAAGAUGAAAAGAACUUUGAAAAGAGAGUUAAACAGUACGUGAAAUUGUCAAAAGGGAAGCGUUUGACACCAGUGUUGUUUUUCCGAAAAUCAAUUACGAAUGUUUUGUUUUUGAGGAGUUAUGACUUCAUCGGCUUGCUUCUCUCUUUACGAAACUUUCUUAAUGCACUUUUCGGUUAACAAGUCAACAUCAAUUUCUUUUGUUGUAAAAGGGUAUGAGGAAGGUGGCUUUCUUUUCGGAGAAAGUGUUUAUAGCCUUGUGCCUCUGCAAUCGGAGAGAUUGAGGUCUGCAGCGUAGAUCCUUCGGGGUUAGAUACGUUUGUGCUAAGUUAUAGCUUUUCAUAGACAACUUGUUGACUAUGUUUAGUCUUGUAGCUUACUCGCUUAUGCUAUUUUACCUACGCUUAGGAUGUUGAUGUGAUACUGCGAGCA